ensembl:misc_RNA Metazoa_SRP Metazoan signal recognition particle RNA
GCCGGGCAUGGUGGUGCAUGCCUGUAAUCCCAGCUACUCAGGAGGCUGAGGCAGGAGAAUUGCUUGAACCCAGGAGGCGGAGGUUGCAGUGAGCUGAGAUCGCGCCACUGUACUCCAGCCUGGGCAACAGAGCAAGACUUUGUCUCAA